rnacentral:rRNA from 1 species
AGUGAACGCUGGCGGCAGGCCUAACACAUGCAAGUCGAGCGGCAGCGCGGGGAGAACCCUCGCUUCCGGCUGGCGACUGGCGGGGGAUUCAGGAGUACAUCCCAUUCUGCUUGGUCGUGCGUGGUGACGUUGACACAAAUACCCUAUUACCGCAACGGUCGAAAGUGUGGGACCACAAGAUCUUACGCACAUACGUGAUCGAAUGAGCGGAUGACGGAUUGGCUAGUUGGUGGGGUAAAGGCCCACCAAGGCGAAGAUGCGUAGCUGGUCUGAGAGGAUGAUCAGCCACACUGGGACUGAGACACGGCCCAGACUCCUACGGGAGGCAGCAGUGGGGAAUAUUGGACAAUGGGCGCAAGCCUGAUCCAGCCAUGCCGCGUGUGUGAAGAAGGCCUUCGGGUUGUAAAGCCCUUUUGUUGGGAAAGAAAAGCAGGGAGUUAAUACCCUGCGGGUAUGACGGUACCCGAAGAAUAAGCACCGGCUAACUUCGUG